rnacentral:rRNA from 1 species
GAUCGGCCCGCGUCUGAUUAGCUUGUUGGUGGGGUAACGGCCUACCAAGGCGACGAUCAGUAGCUGGUCUGAGAGGAUGAUCAGCCACACUGGGACCGAGACACGGCCCAGACUCCUACGGGAGGCAGCAGUGGGGAAUAUUGGACAAUGGGCGCAAGCCUGAUCCAGCCAUGCCGCGUGAGUGAUGAAGGCCUUAGGGUUGUAAAGCUCUUUUGUCCGGGACGAUAAUGACGGUACCGGAAGAAUAAGCCCCGGCUAACUUCGUGCCAGCAGCCGCGGUAAUACGAAGGGGGCUAGCGUUGCUCGGAAUCACUGGGCGUAAAGGGCGCGUAGGCGGCCGAUUAAGUCGGGGGUGAAAGCCUGUGGCUCAACCACAGAAUUGCCUUCGAUACUGGUUGGCUUGAGACCGGAAGAGGACAGCGGAACUGCGAGUGUAGAGGUGAAAUUCGUAGAUAUUCGCAAGAACACCAGUGGCGAAGGCGGCUGUCUGGUCCGGUUCUGACGCUGAGGCGCGAAAGCGUGGGGAGCAAACAGGAUUAGAUACCCUGGUAGUCCACGCC